GAGGUACUGAGAAGGGUUGGAGUUUCCAACUGUCAGAGUCUCUGGAAGCUGAGCUUGGCUCUGGAGGCUGGUGGUUGUUGGCUCUCUGGGAUUUCCCUUUCAAACCUUGGGAAUACCAGACUGGCACUUUGGAAGAGAGAAAGGAACUGAACUUGAAGACUUCUUGAGUCCCUUUCAACUCCAAUUCUAUUAUCUCAUAACCUCUCUUACAUAAGUGGGUGGAUAGUACCUCUAUUGUAUACAAAAAGGAGAAGAGGCACAAGAUGAACAAGCAAGAAUUCAGCAGAAGUCUCCCAAUAUUCUCC
rnacentral:lncRNA from 1 species